GACGUAGGAGGCGAGCGUUGUCCGGAUUCAUUGGGCGUAAAGAGCGCGCAGGCGGCUUGGUAAGUCGGAUGUGAAAUCCCGAGGCUCAACCUCGGGUCUGCAUCCGAUACUGCCCGGCUAGAGGUAGGUAGGGGAGAUCGGAAUUCCAGGUGUAGCGGUGAAAUGCGUAGAUAUCUGGAGGAAUACCGGUGGCGAAGGCGGCAUCCUGGACCGGCAUUGACGCUGAGGAGCGAAAGCGUGGGGAGCGAACAGG
rnacentral:rRNA from 1 species